rfam:Egretta garzetta contig38200, whole genome shotgun sequence.
CACAUGGUUUUUUUUGAAACCACUAAAUUCUUAAGUAGCAAAACCU